rnacentral:rRNA from 1 species
UACGGUGGGGGCAAGCGUUGUUCGGAAUUACUGGGCGUAAAGGGUGCGUAGGCGGCUUUCUAAGUUGGAUGUGAAAACUAUGGGCUCAACCCAUAGCCUGCAUCCAAAACUGGAGAGCUUGGGUUCUGGAGGGGAAAGCGGAAUUCCUGGUGUAGCGGUGAAAUGCGUAGAUAUCAGGAGGAACACCGGUGGCGAAGGCGGCUUUCUGGACAGAUACCGACGCUGAGGCACGAAAGCUAGGGGAGCAAACAGG